CACUCAACAUUUUUCUUCUUUGUAGUAUAAAUACUUCAAAAAUUGUCGUUGUAUGUUCUCCAAUGAUAGAAUUUGAAUGUUGUAAUACGGAAACCACGCCAGGGUGCAAGAUUCCAAUUUUGAUCGAACCCAAGCAAAAAAUAUUACUUUCAAUGUUGCCGGAUUAGUAAAAUCCUUACAAUUGCGUACAAUAAAUCUCAACAUUUUUUUGAACUUGAUAGCUCCAGUUCAUUAAUUAGCUUUUUAAUCUGUCUCCUGUGAAUCCGUAAAUUCUGCGAUGAUCUUGUUUUUGAUCGUUUCGUACUUGUGUUCCGCAGGAGGAUUGACCAGGAUGUCCGAAACGGUCUGUAGUAUGAUGCCGUCCAAGGCGCUAACAACCAUGUAGUACUUUCACUACUAGUCAGAACCUAGUAGGCUAAUUACGUGAAACCAAACGUCAGUAUUGACAUUUUGCCAACUUCAAUGUCAUGGCUCAAAAUUUUCGCGAUGUUUCUUGACUUUCGGCAGUUAACCAAAAUUUUGUGUAACGCUGUACAGGUUCACAUUUAUUCUUCGCCAAAUUUUUUAAUGGAAUCCUUCAUAAACGUGUUAAUGCUCGUUUUUCACUGCUUGUUAAUAAUUGAAGUCAACUCUUUAAUAAGAAAAAUGAGCGUUCGUCCAAUUAAAAUAGCAAUAGAUCAGUCUUCAGUAGAUGUUAAGCGUAGGGAGUCGGAAUUUCAAGGUGUAGUGCGGAAACAUCCUGAGCUAGGAGUGGACGUUGUUUUUACAGAAAGCAGUUUACUGAGAGAUGAUUGGGAUACGACUGCUAAAAUCAACAAAAUAUUGUCAACAAGUUUAAGUGAAUAUAUCAGAAAAGAUUUACAGAAACUUCAGCCGAAGUUACUUACUGAUUCGAACCACAGCCAGCAAACGCAAGAGAACAAUUUUACGUCAAGUGUAGAAAAAUUGUAUGAGUUUUCGAUUAACGAGCCUCAUUUCAAAAAUAAAAGUGUUCUGGAGGAUUCACCGAAGGUUGAAGCAAAGAAAAUUAUGUUCUUACAUUAAACUAAAAUGAAGGAAAGAAAAAGCAAUGUUCAUUUAAAAUGCAGUACGUAUCUAAAGAGAUUUGUAAAUGAAUUUUAUAAAUAAAAUUGUUUUGUGG